UUCAAUGACAUUGUCCUCGAAUUCCGUUCCAGCCCCAUCGUAGAAUUCUCAGAAGUGAGAGGGUGAAUUGCUGCAGAGUUGGGUUGAAUCCAGUUUGGCAGACAAAGACACAAACUGUAGCAGCUCUGGGGACUCCAGCAGACCAGAAGCUGCUGACCCUCCAAGUCCAACUUCGUCGCUGUAAUCUCCGCUGUCACUGCAAGUCUUGAUGGUCAGCCAGAAUUGUACCGAACAGUUGUACCCGUUUGCGAGAACCAAUUUUGUGGGCAGGUUUAGAUGGGUUUCGGUGUAUCUGGUGCUAGAUUGAACCAGAACGUAGAAGUAUAUGUCUCGAUGGCACGAAGGCAAUUCGAAAGUUUUUGCAGACGUGAUUGUGAAUGAGUAUUUCUCGGGAGAUACUAAAGUUCAUUUUGUUCGUCGGCAGCGCUCUGAGAAUGAAUGCGCUUCAAUGUUGGACAACGAGUUAUCAAUGACACAGUUAAUAUGCUGAGAACAGGAGGUGGACGUCAAUGCGGAGUCAUAGUCAUGGAGGAGCGAACUGUCCUUGACCCUGCAGGAGCACAAGCGCUCACGAAACAGAAAUCACCAAGUUAAGUAUACCAUCACCGUGAUCCAGCUUCGUCAAUAUUGCUGAGAAUUGUGGCUCUGUGGUAUCUAAUCGGAUGGCAAAUUGCAGUGACGGCUGUAGUUUUUCAUGGACUUGUGACUUUUUUAGUGAUCAGUUCUUCCAGCAUUCCAGUCUAUGAAAUACGCGAAGCAAGUUCUAACUUCUUAACUGUGUUACUGAAUUGUAUACAAUUCAGAAUCAUUUGUCGUCAAGUCCAAGGAGUUUUAGGUUGAGAUUUUCUACUCAGCAGGAUCUUGUUAGGCAUCUUCGCCCUUACAGUUAUAACUUGUGUGUGCGUGCAGAUCAAAAAUUGAAAAUGGAGGUUAUUGGCAGGUUCGUGUCUGUGCAGUUAUGCACAGCGGCUUGUUUUGAUAUUUUCGUGACCACAGAUUAAGCAUCUCCUUAAGUGGCUGAUUAAUCAUCACAUGAGAAAAAAAUGGCCUUAUUCAUGAGCAGGGCACAACUAGGAAGCCAGAUAGUGAAGCUGGUAUUGGGAGGCUUUAGCCAAGGUGUUUGCAACCGCUCAGUCCAUGUGUCUGUUCAGUCAGCUAUACACACAAGCUCCUCGCUCCAUUUCUGGGAAAUAUUUCAACGGCGACUCGUUCCACCUGAAGUCUCAAGCGGUCACUGCGCCUAGAGCCUGAUGCCAACCAACAAAUAAGUGACCUCAAUUUCUGUAAGUAGCCGCAUUCUCUGAAUCACAUCUCUUAGUGCUGUUUCGAAAUUCGUGUUCACUCAAGGCAUAGAGCUCUGAAGAUUCCCAUCAUAUUUUUGGUUAUUGCGAAGAAAUGCAGUAAAAUUGAGAGCUUCCUAUA